AUGUGGGAGAGAAUUCUGCGCACUCCACUGAGGCACGCGCACAAGAGUAGCACAGACAGCACUAAGGUGAGCCCCAGCGGCUCCCCUCUGAAGCAGAUCAGCCGAUCGGCCAACUGCAGCCCGGCCCACAAGGGCACAGGACGACCCCCUCAGCCCAAGGAGGGGAGUUCCGUGCCGGUCACGCCGCUCCGCCAUGCCCCUAAGCCCCCCACAACCCCCCCAGCCAACGGUCUGCCAGAGCACAUGGACGACAGCACACACACCGUCAUGGUGAACAUGGUGAACGGAGACACGGGGGAUGACAACCAGGAGACGGACGAGAGCGACUCGCACACGCUCGCGCACACCCCGCACAAGACAGAGGAUCAGAGAGGAGAGAGGGAGGAAGAGAAGGAGGAGGAGGAGGACGACGAGGAGGGAGCGAGGGAACAAAGCGACGAAGGAGAGCAGCAACAUGAGACAAGCAGAGACGACACUGCAACCAUGGAUAGAAAGGUAGGAGUGUGUUUGUGUGUGUGUGUGUGUGUGUGUGUGUAUGUGUGUGUGUGGGUGUGUGUGUUAAAAUCUUUAGAGAUUGUACCCCUGAGUCAGAGGUUUAUUUUUAUCUGGAAUACCCCACAGAUAUAUUUAAACUGGUUGUCGGUCUCUCUCUCUCUGUCUCUCUCUCUCUCUCUCUCUGUCUGUGUCAGUCUACCUAGAGAGUGACAAGCCAUAGAUGUCUACUGAAACUUUAUCACUGCUGUUCCAUGUUUGCUUAUACCAGAUACCUUAUAUAUUUCUGACUGUGUCUCGAAAUAUCUGAGUGUGUGUGUGUGUGUGUGUGUGUGUGUGCGUGUGUGUGUGUGUAAGAGAGAGACAGAGAGCGAGAGAGAGGGACAGGGAGAAAUAGAGAGAUAAAUAAAGGUUGGUAUUUGACACCUCUUCCUUGUGGA
rnacentral:lncRNA from 1 species